rnacentral:lncRNA from 1 species
UAUAUCCAGGUUUGUUACUGUUAUCUCCGAGUUCAUCAUAGCUGCUAUUAUUUCAUCACAGCUAUAUGCUUUCCCUCAUCUAUAUAGCUUUUCUUUGUGUUGUUUUCUCUUCUUCUCCAGGAACAAGGUCAAUAUAGUGACAGUGGGGGUCAUCCCACCUUGAAGCUUGACGGGUUGGUAUUUGAUAUUAUAUAUGCAUCCAUAAACAUUUACAUUUGACACAAAAUCUCUUAUUACUAGCUGGAUAUGGAAAGAAGAAGAUCAGUGUCGUUGGCAGAGACCAUCAGAGUGAAUAACUCUCUGUAUAUCGUAUCUGUACUACUUAAGAUUAUGACUACUGCCCUUUAUUUUCUACCCACUUCCUUUUUCCAUGGUAGCUUUAUUUCAUUUUCCUUUUAUUCACCAAGUUUUUAAUUCGUAUUUCGAUUCCUUCUGCUUUUAUUGUAAUUUUAAUGACUUUUAUUGGCCAAUAGUGAUUCUGAUUGUCUCUUGAAAAUUUAUUGUUGUUGUAUAGUAAUCAUAUGUGUGUACAGUAUGUAGUUUGUGGUCGCCACGAUUAAUCAAUAAUGUUACUUUUAAUACCAAAAUAUUUCAUAAAUAUAUGUCUCUAGCGACGUUCAAAGUAGAAAAUUAAAUCGUAAGUAUAAAGUUCAAUUAGAAUGUUGUAUUUUUCGGAUGUUUCAUGUUCAAUCCUUACAAAUACAUCUGGCUUNNNNNNNNNNNNNNNNNNNNNNNNNNNNNNNNNNNNNNNNNNNNNNNNNNNNNNNNNNNNNNNNNNNNNNNNNNNNNNNNNNNNNNNNNNNNNNNNNNNNNNNNNNNNNNNNNNNNNNNNNNNNNNNNNNNNNNNNNNNNNNNNNNNNNNNNUUCAAAUUGGUUAAUAGGUCGAAUAAUAUCUAGUUCUGCUGAAGUUAUAUCUAGUUAUAAGAGGUGGCAAAAGUUUGACAAAGGAGCUUUGCUGAAGGUGGUGGAUGGAAGUUGUAAAAAAUAAUAAAUUGUGUUAUUAAAUGACUUAACUACCUACUUUAAUAUACAUCAUUGAAUCAAUCCAACGAUCAAAACUAGUUUUAGUUGUGGACAUGGAUGUCUGCGAAUUGCAAACAUGGAAAAGUAUUUGAUUUAAAAUGGAUGCAUAUCAAGUCAUAUUGUAUAUUGUAUAGUUGGUCAAAUAUUAGACUUAUAGACUCGUUACUGAGUGUCGGAUUACUCGAGGUUGUGGAUUAAUUCCUUUUCAUAAAUAAUUUUCUUUGUCAAUUGGAUGAAAAUGAACCAAGUCUAUUAAGUUACUAGAUGAUUCGGGGCUAAUUGACCGAAAUGGUCCUUUAUGUUUGGCCUGAAUCACAAACAGGUUUCCGUCGUAUAAAAAUAACAUUGCUGUCCCCCUUGUUUUCGCGUGUAACGAAAAUUUCCUGUCGUCCAUGUCUAUCUACACGGUUGUAAGAAUUCACUGAUGUAGCAUCGCUGUUGGGCCCACCCCACCGGAUGUGGCAGGUUAAAAAAAAUCGGAAAUUACCCACGGCUAAAACUCGAUUAACUGGCAUGAUUAAAUUCCAAAUAACCGGCUCAAGUAACCCAAGUGUAAUUAUUCCAAAGAAAAAGCGACUAUUAGUUUCUGAUACAGAUCAAACUCGCCCCUUGCCCCAAAAAUUCCUCUGUAGGAUUUCUUCAAUGGAACUUAGUAAAAUUUAGGGUUUAUCUCCUCCAAUUCAAAAUCGAUCUUCAUCUCUUUUCUAACUUCAGAAAUCGAUCACUUGUUGGUGUCUUCUUGGCGGAUCUUCAUCUUUUUAUAGUAAUCUUCUUCCAACUUUUGUUCACGAUUGCUGAAUUUGCAUGCAACAAUGGUGGAAUGGAUGAAACGGCUUGAUGAUGGACAAGAAGGACGAACGAGAGCACCUGGAUUCAUCAUUCAUGAAAACGGGGCUCAUGUGUUACCAUUUAAUUCAAAAAGGACCUUGUGGUUACAAUCUGAAAUGAAAAGGACGAACAAUCGUAUUUCUAACCGAUUUGAUUUAUCAUGUUAUAACCAUGGGUAAUUAUCGGUUCGGUUUUAGUUGACGUGGAACUGUCACAUCAGCAAAAUUAACUAUCGUCAUGAAGGAGUCGGACGGUAGGACAAAAUGGUUACAUCCGAUAACAAAAAGGAUGACAAUCGUUACAUUUGAUACAACAGAAACGAGUUUGUCAUUCGGGCCAAACGUAGGGGACGAUUUCGGCUAAUUAGCCGAUGAUUCGGUGACCAAUCAUAUUGCAAUCGAAUUUGUUUACGGGGCAACCGAAUUGUAGUUCUAUCAAAUUAUGAAUUCUAAAUAUACAAAACAACAUGUUGAUCAAUCGGUCACGAGAAUUCUAAUCAAUUUAAAAAUCACUUUAAAAAGAAAGUAAUCGACGUAUUGGGUAACAAUGAAAUCCAAAUGAUGCCUUAAGCACGCUUCCGACAGCACUAAUAGCAAGUUGACGUUGUGUCCGUCGGUUCCCGCUGUCUAAUCGGAAAUUACUUAGGGGGUGUCCCUUCAAAGGAAAGCUCCACCUCCACUGUACAAAGAAGAACAAGAUACCACCACACCACUCAUCCACCGCCGUUAGUACGGCCGGCGCUGUCAUUCAGUCAGUCACACACACAGCCUGCGUCACCUGGCACUGUUUGUGACAGCCCAUUCACAAGCCGACACGUACUUAGGGUGGAUCCUUUUUUCGUUUCGCUGCUUCAUGACAGCCAGCCUUGCCUGCCUGCUGACCAACUGACCAACAUGGAAACUUGUUGCCCUCUUGGUGGGUGGGUUUGCAAAUGGUGUAGGUUUAAAUCUGCCGCUGCGGGGUAAUUUUCAUAUUUUGUGUUGUUUCUUUUUGGCUUUGGAAAGGUAAAACAACUCGCAGUUUAGUGAUUAUUACAUUACUCCAUCGGACAAUCCAUUUACACUUAAUGUAUAAAAUUAAUUUAAUUUAAUUUAAUACGGGGACUUUCCUUCUCAUUACGAAUCUUUGAGUCGUCAAUGUGUAAACUUGGAUAAAUCGGUAGUAUUUUUUAGCUCAAAUAUUGGUGAAAAUUUGUAACAGGUUUAGGGUUUUCAGCUUCAGGUAUCAAAUAUUGGUUUAUGCGACAAAUAUCUCGAUAUUCAAACUCAUGUUUCACAAUCUAGAGCUUCAACUUUUAAAUUCAUGGAAGAUAGGUUAGCUAACGUCCUUCCAGGGUGGAAAGUUAGAUGUCUAUUUCCUGCAAGUAUGGCGGUGCUCCUAAAAUUUGUAGCUCAAGCUUUAUCGUGCUAUGCUAUGUCCAUGUUCAAAUUCCCCGAUGAGCUUUCUCGCCGUAUGAAUAAACAAGUUGCUCGAUUUUGGUGGGGUGUCAGUUAGACUACCCGACGUAUCCAUUGGAAAUCGUGGGCUACUUUAUGUGACCCUAAACUUGAUGGUUGUUUGGGCUUGAGGGACUUGACAUCCGUCAAUCGUUCUCUGCUAGCAUCCCUGUGUUGGCGUCUGAUGCAUUAUAUUUCAUCAACCAGAAUAAAUUACAGGGGAGGACCACUGACUCUAAAAAAAAAAGUAGGGUCCGAAAGCAGCAAAUGUCAAGACAAGGAGAGACUACGCGGAGAGAAACUCUUCGCAAGCCAACCAGCUUUUUAGAUUGCGUUUACAAGAGAUGAACUGGACAGAAAUGAUUGGAUUGCAAAGACGAAAGUGCUUGAUCCAAGCUCCCAAUAAAGCACAGUCCCAAUGACCAAGCCUAUUUGUUGUGACAUUUUUCUAAUAAGGGGCAACCAACUUGGUAAAAAAAUACACUUCAUCUCCAUAGUAGCAAGUCAAACCCACUAAUCUUAUACUACAAUAUGAACAACUUAAUUAACAAUGUCUCAUAUUUGUAGCUAACCACGGAUCCAUCACCAUCAUAUUCUCAUAGUUAAUUAAGGGUGGUGGAGGAGAGUGGAUAACACGCGGUGGAGAUUGCGACGGAGAGUGAGAUAUGAUAAAAAAAGGGUGGAACAUUAAUACAAGCAAGCUUACACAAUAAUGGUAAGAAAGAAACAAAGAGCAACCCUAGCUAGAUCAAUGAACCACCACCCAUUUCUCUUUCUCUCCUUUUCAUUUCUAACUCUGCUCUGCCUUCUUCUGGAUGGUGGUGAUUAAAAGACCCCCUCAAAACAAAUAUAUAAAAUAAAUAAAAACCAGUAGAGAUAUAGAUAGAUAGAUAUAUCAGUGUUGCAUACCAAAGGUUAAAAGGAAGCUCUCUCACUCUAUCUCUCUUAAUUUUCUCUCUAUCUCCUCCACAGAGAGCAUAAACUCCUUUGUUUCUGCUCUUUUUUUCUUCAUAGGGUUCCUCAUCCCUUUCCUAUUUUAAUCCUUUUUUUCCUUUUGUUGUUCUCUUACUAUGUAUGUCACUAGGGUUUCUUAAAUUUCUGUUUUUCUUCUCCCAAGUAUUAAUUUUUUGAGGUGGGUUUUUGAUUCACUGAUCUGGGUUUUGAUGAUCAGUAAAAGCAGAUAUCAUCAGCUUCUUCUUUAAGGAGAGUCAUCAGAGGAGCAACCCACUUACCUACAACCCACAUAAGAAGAAAAGGUGAAAGAAAAAAGUGAAAAAUACCCAACAAAGAAGCGCAAAUACUUACUUUACUUGCAGUUUCAUACCCAUAUCUGUACAGUAAGGUAUUUUUUAAGGUAAUUAAUUCUGAUAUAUAUAUAUAUAUUUUUUGUGGAUUUGUUUCUUGUAGAGUAUAUUUUUAAAGGAAAGGCUGCAAGUAGGAAACAAAAGAAAUAAAGCAUCAGAAAAUAAUAAGUGUGGUUGUACAUUUGAUCAGAUAUCAUCAAGAGCAGAUACAAGGAAGGAGAAGAAGAUUGAAUCAAACAAUAAAUAAAUAAAUCAAUGGGAAGGGGGAGAGUGGAGCUGAAGAGGAUAGAGAACAAGAUAAACAGGCAGGUGACGUUUGCUAAGAGGAGGAAUGGUUUGCUCAAGAAAGCUUAUGAGCUGUCCGUACUCUGUGAUGCUGAGGUUGCUCUCAUCAUCUUCUCCAACCGUGGCAAGCUCUAUGAGUUCUGCAGCACCAAUAAGUAUCUAUCUAAUCUCUCCUUUUAUUAAAAAGAUUAGAAUUUUUUUUUGGGUGUCAAAAAGAUCAGAUCUUUGAUUCUGUUCUUGCUGGAUUUGCUAUCUGCUGCUGCUGUCCUAGCCUUUAAUUUCUGUUUAAUUAAAUUUCUUUUUAGGGCUUAACCAGAUCUGAGUAAUUAAUAUACUGUUUUAAAGUGGCCUAGGUUUGUUGCAUACCUUGAAAAUUAUCUUCCCUUUUUGUAUUUAUUCAAGAAUUUAAAGGGGGGAGUUGGUUAAAAACUUAAAAUUGUAAUCAUGGAGUACUUGGGGAACAAAAACCUGGGAACUUGCUAAUACCCUAUGUGUCAAACGGAGGAGCUGAGAGAGAGAGAGAGAGUGGGUGAAAAGAUGGAGAGAUCAGAAAAAUGCAGUCUCUGGUUUCAAAGAGAGAAAUGGUCAGAUUACAUCAGUUUAUCUGCUAGGCAAAUCUAAGCUUUCACUUAAUGCUUUGCUUUGCUGCUGACUGUCGCAUGCCUUCUCCCAACCAAUCCAUCUUUUCUUUUCUGUUGAAUCAGUAGACAGACAGGCAGAGCUUUUCAUAAAGAAGAUGAUGUAUGUAAUAUAAAAUUAGUUUGUUCAUGUACCAUUGUCUCUAACUAUUACCUAGGUUGUAUAUAUCAUUCCUUGUCUGAUUUUGCUACAAAAACGAAUUAGGACCAACCAACCUAGCUUGAUCACCUCAUUAUUUAAAACAACAGUUAAUAUUAAAGAUGCUUUCUUUAUUAGUACCUUUGCUUACCCUCUUUUUUUUGGGGAUCUUCAAGUCAACAAGAGGUCAAGGGCUUUGUUUUUCACAAACUGAUUUGGAUUCUCUUAGCUGCUUCCAAUUUUGUUUGAUUUUACUUUUAUUUUUUCAAUCUAGUUAGAUGGUUAUAUUUUGUCAGUUUAAUAAAACAUUGGAUGGUUUGAUUUUACUUUUAUUUUUUCAAUCUAAUUAGAUGGUUUGUUUCUCAUUUGUCUCGCCAUUUGCAUUACCCCCCUCAUGAUUUCAGCAUGCUCAAGACACUGGAAAGGUAUCAAAAGUGCAGCUAUGGUGCAGUUGAAGUCAACAAACCUGCUAAAGAGCUCGAGGUACAACUUUUUCCUCUCCCAUCUUCACUAUCUGCCGCUCUAUUCAAAUAUCUAGCAUCAUUGUUCCUAUGAAUUUGGGAGUAGAGGAGAAAAAGCUUCAAGGUCUGGUUCAUAACAGUCGCUGAAAACUGUGAUUGAUCAUAUUUAUAUGAGCUAAUAAGUUGUUGUUACGGAAUUAACAGAGCAGCUACCGUGAGUACUUGAAACUGAAGGGUAGAUAUGAAGCCCUACAACGAACCCAAAGGUAAAAAGCACAACCCCAUGUUAGUUGAUUAAAUGAAGGAUCAUUUGGUUUAUGAUGAUGCUGGAGUGUAGGAACCUUCUGGGGGAGGAUCUAGGUCCUCUGAACACAAAGGAACUGGAGCAGCUUGAGCGCUCUUUGGAAGGUUCACUGAAGCAAGUCCGCUCCACUAAGGUCAGAUCAAUAUAUAACAUAUCAUUCGCAUCCAUUGAUGAAGCAGCUUGAUCAGAGGUUGAUUAAUGCUGACCUAUAUAAUUCAUUUGCAGACUCAGUACAUGCUUGACCAGCUAUCUGAUCUUCAAAACAAGGUAUAUUCUCCUUAUAUAUCUUCAUGCCAUUUUUUUGGCAAUGCAUCGAGUCCUCGUGAGAUCGUCCAUCAAUCGGAUAUGUUUUAUAAUUGGGCAAUGACUCUUUUCACAUGAUUUUGUGUCUUUGUCGGAUUGUAAAAGUUCGUUGCACAACUUUUGAGCUUGUAUGGUGGAAUUUGGUAUGUUUAUUUGUGUGGCUUUUUGCUUUUCUCUUUUUGGAGUUUACGAAUGGUAAGACAUGUUGUGCUAAACUCUUCUAGUUAAUCCGUUUAGAUUUGGGUUAGAGGCAAGAAUGAAAUCGACUUUGUAUUGUGAAACAUUGAACUUCACUUGGAUUAUAAAAAAAAAUUCUUAAAGCCAUCAUUAGUCAUAUAAAAACACUAUUGAUGUUGAUGGGAACAUUUUCUGUUGUUAUAAUUUGUACGUAUACCUGCAGGAGCAGCUGCUGCUUGAAGCCAAUAGAGCAUUGGCAAUAAAGGUCUCUACUUUCCCCAUCUCUCUAGCUACCAUAUGACAAUGUGUCUGUAACUUACUAAUGAUUACCCAUUCUUUUUCUCAACUGUUCCAUGGACUGAGCCUUUAUCAUAUAUACUCACCAUUUGGCUUCUUUCUGUGUAAUGAAGCUGGAUGAAAUCAGUUCAAGGAAUAAUCUCCGACAGUCGUGGGAAGGAGGGGAGCAGAAUAUGUCCUAUGCUGAUCACCACCAGCAUCAGGAUCAGCAUCAGCACCAUAAUCCACAUGCUCAAUCCCAAGGGUUGUUCCAGCAUUUAGAUUGCAACCCAACUUUGCAAAUCGGGUACUCAAAACUCACCCCACAGCCCUUUUCCAAAAAGAUGGUUUUUUCAUACGUUUAUCUGAUUUCAACAUACGGUGGUGGUUAAAAAUGUGCAGGUAUAAUCCGGUAGUUUCAGACCAGCAGAUGACAGAAGCUACAACACAUGGUCAUCAACAGCAAGUGAAUGGGUUUAUUCCUGGAUGGAUGCUCUAAUAAAGCAAUAAUUAAGCAGCUCCAUUGUUUCUUUCUUGGAAGGAUGGCAUCACUUUGGGCAAGCUUUGCUUUCUCUACAUAUAAAAAAAAUAUGCUACCAUUUGUUCAAGAAAACUGUCAUAAGAGCAAUUAAGAACGAUGAUCACCUACUGCACUUUCAAGUAAUUUUGCUGUGUUGCAACCAAUAUAUGUAAAUGUUGAGAACGAAUGCCAUGUGUUUAUUGAAGGAUUUAUGUCCUUCGACCCAUGUCCGCAUAGGAACUAGUGAAGUGUUUGACUUGAUUAAUCGGUAUUAAUUUGGGCCAAUUAGGAGUUAACAUGUCUUGCUAGAGGCCACUGGUAAUUAAUGGUUUGGGUGACGGCUAAUCGGACUGGAUCUUACAAGGUCACACGCUUAUAGUAUGGACCGGAUCAAUGUCCUAAUUCAAGAUAGAUUAAGGUUAAGGUUUAUGAAAAACUCUAUAAAUAGACGGUUAGCCGUAACAAUUAAUUCUAAGCCAGAAUUCUGAAGCUGUAAUUUUGUAGAAUGAAAACAGUUUUUAUGCAACUGUUCGAUACGGAUAGAAGCAGUUACUUGCAAGGUGUUUUGAACACUGCAACAGUAGACGUUUUUAUUCUUGGAGAAAGAUUUAGUUUUCUGAAAGCUAAACCUUUUCCUGGCAAACAACAAAGAUUGUAGGCGUUGUGGCCUUGUCUUUAUAUCCAUCAAAAACAAUUGAUGGGGACGCAGAUCAAGUCUGAAAUGAUAAUGAGUUUAAUGAAGCUCUUAAUCUCGGCCCGAACUCAAGCUAUCGCUGGCCCAAGUUCCCAGGUUCGGUUUGACCGGGCUGUUCACUUGAACUAGCCCACUCUCUGUUCGGGUACUGGCUCGGUCCAGCUUCUCCUGGUUUUGGCCCGACUGGUUCGGCCAGACUUGGUUGGAUCUGUUGUUUUUCCCAGUUCUGGUCAACUCAUAGCGGUCUGACCAGUUUGGUUUCUUGCCCAGAAUAAAUAAAAAACUUGUUUGACCAGAUUUUGUUUUGGUUUGACCAAGCGAAUUAAUCAUCAAACGGAUCCGAUUAUGGAAUCUGUUUUGGUUAUAUUUUCAAUUUUAAUCAUAAGUUUGAUUGAGAAAUAAAAUAUUAAUUUUAAAUUAUAAUUAAAUUCUUAUUUAAUUUAACAAAGAAUUGCUAUUUUAAGUAACCGUUGUAAUUGAUGAAAUUUAAAAUUAAAAGGAGACUAAUAUUCAACGAAAUUGAAAAUAUUAAGAUUAAUCCUAAGAACUUGAAUAAAUUUUAUUGUUGAAACAAUUAAAAUAAUAAAGGCGUUUAUAUUUAGAGAUUAAUUGAAAUAAAAUCUGUUUUAUUUGCAAUUAAAUGUCAUCUUAAUUAAAAUUGGUUGGUUAGGAUUUAGGAUUUAGGGUUUGUAUAUGAAUGAAUGAAUGCUUAAACCCUCGACAAUCUCGACCCAAGCACCCCGGAACCACACUCAUCGGCACGACGUGUACCUUUGCUGCUUCUCAACUCAUUUCUGGCGGAAGCCGAUUAAAAACGAUUCAACCCAACAACCAACCCUUGAAUCGAUUGUCACUCGGAUUAGGAUUGCUACCCAAACUUGUCUGAAAGAGUUUGGACUUCAUCAUGCCGUUGCACCGAAUCCACGAUUUCCUCAUUCUGUUAAGAUUGUGGCCGAAUCAAAACCAACGCAGGUACAAUACCAGUUCAAGUCAACUUCUUCUAUUCCUUUCCUAUUUAUUUCCAUUUUCAAUUUCUUGCUCAUUCACAUAAUCACAUCUCCUUUUCAAUACUUUCACAUCUCUCAACAAUUUGAAUUGUUUUUCUCUCCUCUGGAAUAAUCAUGAGUGAGCAUGGCGAAUCUUCCAAUGGAGCCAUUUCACAUAUUCUCUUUGAUUCGUCUGACUUACGGAUGCUCAGGAACGUGCAAAAGUGAGUCUUCUAGGCUGCAUUUUUGGGACGAGCCGCAAAAUCUUCGACUAGUCAAACGAGUGCUCAACAUCGUAUGGACAAUCACCUCACUCUGUAUCCUCGACGUGGGAUUUGGACUCUACCAGUUCAUCUUCCCCUCGACCAGCCAGCGCCAGUUCGUCCUCGACUUCCAACCAUGGUCCUUCCGUUGAUACAUCAUUCAUUUCACAUCGAUCCUCAUUCCAUCGGAGAAACUCUUUGAGUCUCUUGGCGUCAUGAACAUUUGGGUCAAGCUUGAAGGUUUACCAGUGGCAUGUCGUACCACAGCCGUGGGUCGACGAAUUCUGGCUCGUUUUGGUGAGAUAAUUAAGAUUGGUUAUUUUGAUGCUAAUCUCCCCAGUGGUUUCUACGUCAAGGGUUUGGUUCGGAUGGAUCUCUUCGAUUCAUUCCCGGGCACAAUUGAAGCUUGUGAUGAUGCUGGCCGGACUUAUCCGGUUUACUUUCAAUACGUCAAUGUACCUUGUAUUUGCUUUCAAUGUGGUUACUUGGGACAUAUUGUUGCUGAAUGUGAUAGAAAGGGCCUGGCUGUUGUUCCACCUUCGAUGGAUGCGUGGAUUUGCAAGCCGAUGGUCCAGGUUUGCAAGCCGUCGUUCAACCGCAUCAAAUAGCUCGUCGAGGUGGCGCUCGCAUUGUACCGCCAACCGUCCAAGCGGGACUCUCUGUUACUUUUCUAAGAGCUCGUGCGGGACAUCGUGGUACGGGUCGACGUGGCCGGGUCGAGGACCUAGUAACACAACGAUUACCUCUUGCUUUACCCGGGCUCUCCGGAUUCCAUCAAUCGGCCAAUUCAUCUGCUUCCUCCAUUGAUUCAAGUGCUGCGAUGAAUGCAAACCAAGACCCGCUUGAUCCACAUCUCCAACCAAGUCUCCAACCCUCACCAUCCAACCCGCCUACUGAUCACUCCAACAGAAAUUCCAAUCGUCCCUCGAUCCAGACUAAACGGAAGUUAUUACCUGAAGAAAAAGGCAAAGCAAAGGCUACAUAUUCACGAGACUCGACCAUCAAAACAUACAGACGUAGGGGGGCUGCCCUCGUCAUCCGCGAGCCAACUGAAGAAGAAUCUCGAGUUGACUUUUCAUCCUGUCAAAAAGAUACUGAAGAUGACACAGCCUCUUCAUCCGCUCUCCGUCUCCGAUUGACAAGGAUCCCAUGUCAGAGUGAAAUAGUUGAAUCAUAGGCUGCUGCCACAAAUCAUGUAGUUGCUAAUUUAGCUAACUUUAUUUGCUGAAGAGGUGGAGAAACCGGCCUUGACCGGUCCCAUCCCGAUCGAUGAGUAUCAUGGUAUGGAAUUGAGUAAUUAUUUCAUGCAAGAGAUAAUGUAUUGCAACAGUAAUGUUGAACACACUUGAUUACAAAACUUUUUGUAUCCUACAUUCUACUUGGUUGAAUUAUGAAAAGCUUAAAUUUCAAUAAGCCAAAUUCAAUAAUCUGGCAUCGUACUAUUUUUCGGGUCGUAUAACAAUAAAGCUUGCCGUAGCCCAUAGAAAUAAAUGACUAUCUAAUUGAAUUACCAUUCCGAAUUUUUAUAAGAUUAAUAAAGGGUUUUUUUCUUUUGUUUUUUUGUCGGUGUUUUAGGUUUAGAUUGGUUCGUUAUUUUGACUGUUCCACUUAAGGGCCUUCUCGUCCUAAAAAAAUUAUCAUGUUAAAUAUCAUCCAAAUUUCAUUCCACAAAUCACCUGCUAAACCAAAUAUAAGUCACGACACAAAAACCUAUAUAAUUUUCUUUAAUUAAUAUGUAAAGAAAGCUAUAUAGCAAAUUGGCAGUGGUGAUAAUGGGUAAAACAGUGGGAUGAAAAACAAAGGGUUGAUAUUGAAUCCGUGGUUUUGAGCAGAUGCAAGUAGCUAGCAGCUGGGUACAUAGUUGAAGAGUGUGUGUGUGUGUGUGAUAGCAACAUUAUUAGUGGGGAAUUCCCCCUCUUUAGUAGACAAGAUGAGAUUCACUCUCAUCAUCAUAGCUCUGGUUUUAGUAGUGCUCCAUAUACAACAUACAUGAACAUGAUACACACUACUACUCUCGAGAAGUAAAACCAUCAGAAUAAUAUAUAUGGCGAUAUGUAUACUUCACCAAUUCUCCAUUUUCAUUGUGUCAACUCAAAGCAUUAGGCCGGCUGAGAAACACAAUGGUCCCCGCCGCUAGCUCCACCAUUGUUAUGAAAAUAUGGGAAGUUGGUACGAGGUAAAGUUGUUCUGGCCAUUCAUUUUCAUUGCUUGUCAUGGGAUCCCAUAACAUACUCGAAAACAUAAUUUACUGAUUUGGUUGGUUAAAUUCAAACCAUAUAUAGUGGGUAUUGUAUUAUUAACUUAACUGGGACCAAAUUCAUUAGUAUCUGGCAAAAUAUCCUCUAAUAUAAACAGUUAAAGGAAGGGUUUGCUUAAACCUAAGCAUUCGACAAAUCAUGCACUCAAAAUUUAAAUGAAUUGAAAGGGCUUUGGGAGGGAGGGUAUAACUUGUAAGGUGAACAGGGUCUGAUUAUUAUUAUUAUUAUUAUUAUUAUUAUUCUGAGGUGUUGGAUUGUCAGCUGGUAGUACUAAUUAGUACGUACGUAUAUUGAGUUUGACAAGCCAAAAAGAAAGAGCAUGUACUCAAUCUGCAUUCUGCAGUAUAUAUAUGGAGUUAUUUGUAAUAUUUUUUAAUUGUAAAUAGCAGUCUCCACCGAUCAGAGGUCGACAACACUAUACUUGCCUUCCCAACAAAUGCCAUUUACACUCCAAUUUUUUUAGAUUAGGACACCUUUUUUUUAUUCUAAUCGUUAUGAUAUUUUUUGACCGUUUGAUUUUUUCGGAUUAUUUGACGGUUAAGAUUACGGUUUAUUUAUAAGUUUAUUUUCUUUAAGAGAUUAACUAAAUUCAAUUUAUUUGUAUUUUAAAUCCAAUUUUUUUUUAUGAACUGACAUAUGAAUAUUUUUAUUAAAAGCUCCAACAAACACACUUACAUCAUAUUGGUGGUAAAUCGGGAGGUGCAAUCCAAACGGAUUACAAGGGGGUUGCAAUGAUUGAGAUCAUAAGCACCACGCCCAAUCUCUCAUCAAUACCAAGCCAAAAGAUCUCAAGAUACUAGAUUCCGAAAUGAAAACUAAGAUCGAAACUAACUUAGAUAUUGGAGGGAAGAGGCCUUACUGCCAACCCCGCCGACCUUGACACACAAACAAAAUAAAACGCAACGAAACAAAAAAACUGAAAAUCCUAAUCAAACAAAAAAUAAGAAACCGAAUUUUUUUUCAAAAAUGUCUGCCAAUCAUCUGCGGCUAGAGAUGUUGCCGGAACAAGAGACUACUCCGCAACCCCAAAAAUCGCUACACAAGACCUUGUUCUUGCUUUAGCUAAAUUGAAAUAGGGUUUUACGGGUUAAAAUGCUCAUAUCUCUCUUUAAACAAUAUUUCUUAGCAGAUUCAUAUUAUCAGAGUCUUCAUUUUUCUUCUUUAUAUUGAAUAUAAAUAAACGACAAAAUUAUAGAUAGGAAUUACCUUUUGCGUAGGUCAAUUGUUUUACUUCGCACAAGUCCGUAAAAUUACUAUUAGAUCCUUGAUAAAACAUUUAUUUAAUAUUUUGUAAAAAUAAUUCGUAGCGUAUUAAUCAUCAAUGGCGACUUCGAGAUUCUCCCUUCUCGAAAAUCAAUGAGUUCAACAAUAAUGUCUUAAAAAAUCUCUCUCUUUUCGUAGAAUACAGACCGUAUAUAAUAACACCUUUUAAAUGCCUAGUUUAUAUGUAUAUACCCUCCCUACAAUUAUGUAUUGGAAAUCUUAAAUUNNNNNNNNNNNNNNNNNNNNNNNNNNNNNNNNNNNNNNNNNNNNNNNNNNNNNNNNNNNNNNNNNNNNNNNNNNNNNCGAGUGGGGAGAACUUCUGAAAGAAACUCGAUUUUGCUAUCCUGCCAGACAGAUGGAUGUGUAUAUUCUUUUCCAUUCAAUAUACUAGAUCAGACGUGAUUUCAAAUAUAUAUAUAUAUAUAUAUAUAUAGAUUUUGCCUAUAAAACCAAGAUGAGGAAUUAACUCACAUAUAGUACAAUAAUAAUGGUCUCGAAGUUCGUCGAACUGGUUGAAAGACCGCACAAGCCUGUUAAGUCGUCUAGAAAACCGAUGGUCCGGUUCAGUUUUCUGAAUCUGGAAGCCAAAAUAGCUAUGAUUUUAAACUUUUUUUACAGUUCGCCAGUUCGAAUAAGGAUGUUGCUGCUUGUUGUUAAGUUUCUUUUCUAGUUUCAUACUUUUUCUUUAAUUUUUAGCUCAUUUUGUUUCGUUAGUAAUUUUGAUUUCUGUCUCCCUUUGUCAAAUUGUUUUGAUGGAGAGCAAGAAUCGAGAUUGCUUUAGCUUGCAAUGGACCAAAAUUCAUACAUUCUUAUUUAUGGGUCUACAUCUCCUAUUAGACACGAUAUAUAUUACUUACCAAAAACCUCAAACCAUUAAUUAAUAGAAAUUAGAAAUUAGAGUUUAUAUAUAAAAUAAAACGGCCCUCAAAAUAUAUACUUGUGGAUAAUAAAAAUAGUAAUUACAUUAAAGAAAACACAUAUAUUUUUCAUAAAUUAGUAGGAAAACGACAAAGAGGAGAGUGUAGGGAGAGGGUUAAAAGAAAGAAAGAAAGAAUGGACCAUGUUUUGAUAAAAUUAUAAAAACAACCCCAAAGUACCAAAGUAGUAGUGGUGAAGGAACUUCUCCACCUUUGACUCUAUUCCUUUGUUCUCUCAUUCCCUUAGCUUUCCCCUUCCUUGCCUAUAAACAACACACAAACAAACUCUCACUGAAUCACCAAAAUGGAAACCUAACCACUGCACUACUCCCUCCCAGUAAACCCCCUUGCUAUUUUUGCACACUAGCUAGCUAGCUACAGUUGAAAACCAGUUGCACAAAAAUCUUAUCUUUUUCUCUUGAGCUAGCUGGAGAUAGUGAGAGAUAUAUAAUGGGGAGAGGAAGGGUAGAGAUGAGGAGGAUAGAGAACAAGAUAAGCAGGCAAGUGACCUUCUCCAAGAGGAGAAGUGGUCUUUUGAAAAAAGCUCAUGAGAUCUCGGUUCUUUGUGAUGCUCAGCUAGCCCUCAUUGUUUUCUCCACUAAGGGCAAGCUCUUUGAGUACUCCUCUGAUGAUUCCAGGUGAUUUAAAGCUUCAUUCUUUUCAUGCCCUAAUUACUCUGCUUCCCUUUCGAGCUCUCGUAGUCUCAUACCCAUGUACUAAAUUAGUGUUUCUUUUGCUAUCUACUUGUUAAGUUGGUCUGUUUCCAUGGUCAAAGCUUAGUUCUUUCUCUCUUGUUCUUGAUGAAGAACAGUGCUUUUAUAUUGGUAGGAACAAAAGAUGCUAGCUUUAAGUGUACCUUGUAAGUAAAUUUCCAUUAUUUACUUGUAAAUUUAAAAGAAUUUGAAAAGGAGGGGGUCUUUGUGGUUGUCUGGGAUUUGGGGUUUUGUUCGUUGGAUAUAAGGAAGCAACCCUGACGAUAACAACUGGAGAAUAGACUUGUAUUGUAUAGUACCAGUGGAGUGGAGGAGAGGGGGGCAUGAUGCCAAAGGCUUUCCUUGAGCUUUGUGCUUCUUUCAUUGGGUUUACUGAUUUUAUUUUUAUUUCCUAUUUACUCCUUUUCCUUCCCAUUUUCUAGCUCGACUGAAACCUAGGAUUUUGGGAACCUGUAUUUAUUUUUCUAAAAUGAAAAACACAAACCUUCAGUAAUAAAAAAAUCAGAAUCUUAGUUUGAGCCUUAUUGCCAUUAGUUAGUUGGUUUUCAGUUACUGUUUUAUUCGUUUUCUCAAGAGAUUUUGUGGAUUGGUAAACUUAGCUUCAUCCCUCAAAAACUCAGUAGGCAAUGGAACAUAGGGUGCCUGCCUACAUGAUGCAAGGGUAGUUAUCGUUAGAUACUUGAUUGAACCUAGAACAGUAGGUUCUAGAUUUGAGUUCGAAUCCGAAGAGUUACGAUUGGUCGAAAGAAAAAUAAACCAAAUUUCGUAUUGUCAAAUUUCUUUAUUUAUUGAUAAGUGAACUUCACUAUGACAAAAAUUUACUUUAUGAAAGUAUGAAGUGGAGCGAAAGAGUAUAAGGGUACAAGUGUAAAAUUAUAACUAGAACGAACUGAAUGAGAUAACCUUGUUAUUAAACGGAAUGAUCAGACUAAAUUAACGAUCAUUUAUUUAUUAAUCAUUCACUUCAAUCAACAUGAUAACUUUAUUGUUAAGCCAAAUGAUCUCCGAUUAUCCUUUUACCAUGUUAAGUCGUGUCGGUUUUGGGGUUGUUUUAGUGUUUGUUUGUCUUUUAAUUGGGCAUUUAUUUAUGAUGAAAACCCUAGACCAAGGUUACUAGCUACUCCAAGUGUUGAAUGGGAAACCCUCAGUUAGGUAUUGACAUUUUUAUUACAACUUCACAAUAUGUCUGAUCUUGACUGAUCAUGCAAAUAUUUGAUAUAUACAGCAUGGACAUGAUACUGGAGAGAUACGAGAGGUACUCGUAUGCUGAAAGAAACCAUGAGCUUCCCAUUACCGAUCCUCAACAACACCCGGUAUGUAUAUAUAUAUUUUGAUAGCUACGAUCAACCGAGCUUCAUUACUGACAUGGAAGAUAAACAAAAUUAACAGGGAAGUAGCUGGACUAUGGAAUGUCCAAAGCUCAUGUCUAGGAUUGAAGUGUUGCAGAGAAACCUCAGGUAAACUGAUAGACAUGCUGCUGCUGCCACUGACAAUUAAACUGUUUUGUUUACAGUAUAAAUCGAAGUGUGAGUGGGAGAUGUUAUUAUUACUGUAGGAACUUGGUAGGAGAAGAAAUUGAUCCGAUGAGUCUAAGGGAGCUUCAGCAGCUGGAGCAGCAAAUUGAUACUGCUCUUAAGAAAGUCAGAUCAAGAAAGGUACCAUAUAUACAUAGGUUUCCAAACAUUCAUCAUAUAAAUUAUGUGAUUCUCAAGUAACAGUGUUCAUGCAUAUAGCUUACUUAUGUGAUUUGUGUUUUGCUACUGGUAUAUCUUUUUCCAGAACCAACUCUACCAUGAAUCCAUCUCUAAUCUCCAGAAAAAGGUGCAAGUAUACUUCUUUUCCAUAUAUAUCUUCGUAAACAAGGAAAUUUGAUCAGCGAGAUCUAAAAUGGUAAGCUUGUAAUACUGCAGGAACGUUCCUUGAACAAACAAAACGGCGUGCUAGCCAAAAAGGUGCCUAUAUAUAGAUGAUCAAUAGCAUUUCUUCUUUUUCACUUCAUACAUCAGUACUCUAUAAUUAAGAUAACAACUAUAGCUGAAGUGGAAAUAGCAUUCCUGUUUAGGCCACAAAACACAAGUAGAUAUUUGAUGUAUAAUACAAAAGCUAAUCUGACCUCUCUCCCAACAACUCGAGUUAUUGGGAUGCUAACGGUUUAUAUAUGACAAUAGACUCAUGCGCCAUGACUCUUUUAUUAUAUUGAUUCUUACAACAGGUGAAACAAAAUGAGAAGGAAGUGGCAACAACUGGGAAUGAAGAGCAGCAGCAGCAGCAGCAGAACAAUGAAUAUGAGAACGAGCCUCGUCGACUUGAGUCGCAACCAAUGCUUCAACUUCCUCCUCUGACUAUUGGGUGGGUGAUAAUAUAAAAACAUCAUCAUCAUAUCAUAACAAGCAUCUCUAGCUCUUUAUGUGUGUUAAUAAUCCAAGGCUCUGUUGUGCAGUACAUAUGGGUUCCAAGCUAGAGGGCAAAUGAUGAAUGCGAAUGAGAACAUUGAAGAAGAAGAAGAAGCUGUUGAAAGACAGGAUCCGCCAACCAGAGUCGUCACUAAAACUACUACCCAUUUUCCAGCCUGGAUGCUUCCGUAUCUCCGUGAUCAAUAGCCCUCUCAACUCCAACACACCCUUAAUUAUUUGAUAUUGAGUCCGUAAGAAAAUGUCCAUUCUGUUAACUAACAUGCAGUGUGUAGCAUAAAAAGAAGUAACAGUGAAUCCUCCUUGCUUUUAAUUUCUUGGUCAAAGAAUAAGGAAUAGAGAUGAAAGAGGUCAUCAUGUACGUGUAAGAAAACGAUCAACACUCGAGUCUGCUGCUUAUUGUGCUGAGCAUAUUAGUGUAUAAUUCUACUCAUAUGCAAUAAAAAUAUGUACUGAAUUUAACUCUAUAAAUAAAUAAAAUAAGAAAUUGUGCCCUAUUUCGGUGGUUAAUGGUUCAUGUACAUUGAAGGUUGCAAUGGAUGAAUUGGUGAGUCUUAGUAGUUAAUUUCUAUACGUUAUUUUAAAUCGAACUCAUUUUUAUUAAAAUAAGUCACAAAUAAACCAGAUGUUCAAUACAUGAAAAUAAGAAAGGUUGGAUGCAACUUCCCAUCCUACGAAUCCGAUUUGAUUAUUGUCGCCUUUAAUCCUAAUAAAAAGAUUGGUUAGAGUAGUUGAACACGAUUUGAAUAACGGUAAUUAAAACCCAAGACAAAAGAAAAUAAAAUAAUACACCAUUACACUUCACAAUAUUACAUACAUCCUUUCAAGACUAUAUCGUAACGACAUGAUAACAACUAUAUCCUAACGGAUAAAUUUGUGUAACCCUAAACUACGCCGCGUAAUGCAAGUUGUGGAGUACAUCACCUGUAAGUUGUCUAUUUUGAUUAUUUGAUUUUGGAGGUAAGCUAAAUCUAAUAUUUCAGUAGAAAACUUAGCUGCAAAAAAAAUCACUCAUAAAUCAGGGUUUAAAGGAAUCACCUAUAAUGAUAGGUCAUGAAAAAUAUUGAGAGUUGAAAUUAACGUUUUGUCGGAGAUGAAAAUAAAGUGAUGUCAACUGCCAUAUCAUUCGAGAGGGGGAAUUAAAGUUCUUUCGAAUAAAAUGAGAUGAGGUGGACACCCACUUUUUAAUUUUCCCAAAUAAGUAUGCUAAUUAGGCAAAUUUGUUGGAAAGUUCACCGAAAAUUAAUCGGUAGGACGGAUUUGUUAGCUUUGAAAUGUUUGGGACACAUUGAUUCUGUUUAGAAGGUAUUGGAUGCUUUUGUAUAAAAUUGAAACGUGUGGGACUACUAAUGCUAAUUAACCUAGAUCGACCUCCGGUAACAUUUCUUCCAAUCAACAGACCCGGCCAACCGUCUUACUUGAUCAUCGUUCUGUAUAAACUAUAAAUUGGAUGAUUAUGGAUGUUAUCUCAACCGCCCCCGCAGGGAAUUACCAGAAGAUUUGUUUACAUGGGGGCUUCAGCUCGGCCUUCAAUUCAUUUUCCUCCCAGUGGGAGGCUGCUUUGCUUUUCCUUGAUUACAUGAAUCUUCCUGAUUUCAAGAGAGCAGUAGUGUUAAACUUUAAUCAACACCCACCCACAAAUCCUAUGUUCGUUUCCCUAUUCUGGGUUUCUCGUAAUUUGUUUUGCAUUUGAUUCUGCAUAAUGAAAUCGAAUCUCUAACUGAACUGGGGGAAAAAGGUAAUGGCUUUAAAUUUAUGGUCGGAGUAUAAUGUUGGGAACUUCUGGGAAAAUAGCGAUUAAUCUUAAAUUUUGCUUUUUGGAUGUAAUGUUAGUAGUAAGAUACAUGGCCGAGUCAGCUGGGAAGAAGCUUAUCCGCAUUGAUGUCAGUUCAGACACCGUAUGCCCGUGGUGCCUUGUUGGCAAGAAAAACUUGGAUAGAGCCAUAGCUGCCUCUCAGGACACGUAUGAUUUUGAGGUGCUUCUCUUUCUCCAUAUCUCUCCUUAUCUUAUGUUUUCCAUAUUGGAGUUUAGAAGAGUCGGUGCACAAUUUGUUUCGUUGUUUGCAGGUCAGAUGGCACCCGUAUUUCCUGAACCCUUCUGCACCUACAGAAGGGAUAAACAAGUUGCAAUUUUAUAAGGAGAAGUUUGGAUCUCGAGUUGAUAGCUAGGAUGACAGAUGUGAGGUUUUAUUCUAAUUGCUUUUCUGUUUUCCCAAUGUGUGCUUGCAUAGGUAGGCAUGUCUUUAAUAUGCGUUUAUGCACUUGCAGGUCUUCAGAGGGCUUGGUCUGAACUAUAACUUGGAAGGCCUCACGUAAGUUUAAAACCUUGUCGAAUUUGCUGCUGCUUAUGGAUAACAAAGGAAGAGAAGACUAAUGGUCUCUUUCUAACAUUUCAGGGGAAACACUCUAGACAGCCACAGGCUUAUAUAUUUUGUGGGCAAACAAGGUCUCGAUAAACAGCAUAAUCUUGUGGAGGAGUUGUUCCUCGGCUACUUCACUCAGGCUAAAUACAUUGGAGACAUGUUAGUUCUGCUCUUGUCUAACUGCGUUCUCUGAUCACUAACUUGUUCAGCAUUCAUGGUAAUCUUAGUGCAUGUUCAUGUAUAUUUGCCUUGAACCUGUUUGUACCGCUGUUGGAGACUUGAAUCUUGAAUAAUCGCAUCUCCGGAAGUUAAAGAAACUAACAGUUAUCAAUGCAGAGAAUUUCUACUGGAAUGUGGUCAGAAAGUUGGAGUAGAGGGUGCAGCUGAGUUUCUUGAUGAUCCAAACAAUGGGCUGCAAGAGGUCUUCUGCCUUCCAUUUGUUUUCAGCAGUGAACCUUGGUGCACAUCAGACAUCCUAACUAAAAUUUUGGAUUGAUGAACUCAACUAUUUUGCUCUUAAUCUUACAUGUAGGUGAAUGAAGAGCUUGACAAAUACUCCUCACACAUUAAUGGUGUCCCUUACUACGUGGUACGUAAUCAUCUCAUAAAUCUUUCAAUUCUUCGAUUUCUCAAUCUUUUAAUUUCUGCAAUUUCUGGAACAGCUAAAUGGGAAGCUCAAGUUGAGCGGAGGACAGCCCCCCGAGACAUUCCGGAGAGCUUUCGAGGCUGCUGGAAACCCAUAGGUUCUCGUAUAGAGCUGAAGAAAACAGAACAGGCUCUGUGUAUCUGCAGCAAAUAAAGGAGCUCCGAAUAUUUUUCUUAUUCUAGUCAUGACAUCAUCAUGACAAGCAUGUAAGAUAUAUAGAGAUUGUGAAUCUUAAAAAAUACGAUUUCACAUCUGCACUGGUCAAUUGAGGUUGAAUUGUCAAAGAACUUCCUAUGGCUAUUGUAGUUGUGCUUGAUGUAUGAACACAAUAAUCCCACCUUUUUCAACUCACAUAUGCCUUAGUAGUUUCUUCAACGGUUGGUGGAUGAAGCAUAUGAAUAAAGUAUUUUGUGUCCAUGUCUUGAUUCUGGAUGAAGAAUGUAAACAGGUUGUUAUUUGUACAGACCAAGAAAAUUCUUCUGUGUAGCUUUUUUACUGACCACCAAAAGUCUCCGCAUUAUUCGGGCUGAAAAAGUCAACGGUGGGCACCAAAUUCAUGCUUUACCUAUAUAACCAUGAAAAGGAUGCGUUUUUCAGAGCUUCUCUUUCUUAUUACCUAAUUACAACGUCUCCUCUGCUUCCAUCGUUCAGGUACUUCUCUUUCCUUGUCUUUUUUUAGCCUUGCUGGAUGUUGAGAGGAUAUAGAUCCAAACCAACCCAUUCGAUGCUGGUUGGUUCGAACUCUUUUUCGACCCAUUUAUCUUCCUAGAAUUUUAUUGAAUAUUUAGAUUUCUUGCUAUCCGUUACUUGAUCAGCGUGAAACGUUGUUGACUUGAGCAAUCUUGACUCUGCUGGAGCCUUACAUUUUUGAACCUUGAUUGCUCGUUUUAGAACAAGAACAGAUUCUUUAGCUGCCAUGGCUGGGUCUAUUAGUAACAGCUCGGGGAAUAAGCUUAUAAAGAUCGAUAUCAGUUCGGACAUGGUAUGUCCAUGGUGCUUUGUGGGGAAGAAAAAUUUGGACAAAGCCUUAGCUGCCUCGAGUGACAGAUUUGAUUUCGAGGUACUCAAAUCGCUCUACCAUAAUCUUUCUUCCAAUGUCGAUGUCAUGUUCAAAGUAUAUAUAUCAAACUCGCUUCUUCCAAACUCGAUCUUGCAGAUCAGAUGGCAUCCAUUUCAACUGUAUCCUGAUGCCCCGAAGAAAGGAGUGAACUUAUUACAGUUCUACAGGGAAAGGUUCGGAGGCGGAAUUGAGGGAAUGAUGGCUCGGAUGUCUGAGGUUCUCGUUAUCUUUUUAUUUCAAUUGCACUGUGUAGUAUUUUGGUCUAUGGACUUCUUACUAACGUUUGGAUACUUCGAUUCCAGACCUUCAGGAGCCUAGGCAUGAACUAUGAUGUUUCGGGGCUAACGUGAGUCUUAGCAAUAAUGUUGGCAUUCAGUUUCAUGUGAUUCAAAUCACUGUUUCAUGUGAUUCAAGAAGUUGAUGUUGUGUUUUUCCACAGGGGAAGUAGUAUGGACGGGCAUAGGCUUAUGUACUUGGCGGGGAAACAAGGAGUUGAUAAGCAGCACAAGCUUGCUGAGGAGCUGUUCCUUGGCAACUUCACACAGGCCAAAUUCAUUGGUGACAGGUUAGUAGUAAUAAGAGUAAACUCAACUCUACUCCGCUAAAAAAAGAAGCAAAAAAGAUUCUUACUUGAGAUUGAAAUUCGCGGUUGGGGAUCAGGGGUUUCUUGCUGGAAUGUGCCGAAAAGGUUGGAUUGAAGGGAGCAGCCGAGUUUCUUGAUAAUCCAGAUAAUGGACUGAAAGAGGUUCUUAAUUACUUCCACUAUUUUCAACUUCAAACAAGUUUGAAUUGGUCUCCUGAUACUUUGAGUAUAAGUUACAGCAAUAUUGAUUAUGGUAACUUGAUGAUGAAGGUAAAUGAGGAUCUGGAGAAAUCAGUGAUUAGAGGAGUUCCCCACUAUCUGGUAUGAAAUGAAUACAUCUUCUAGAACAAGCUUGGCUGCCACUACUUUCCCUGUUGAUAAAGGAAGAAAUAUUUGUUUGUUUGAUGAUCCAAUAGAUUAAUGGGAAGCACAAGUUGAGCGGAGCACAGCCACCUGAAGUUUUCCUGAGAGCUUUUGAAGUUGCUGCCAAAUCAUAGUUUCUUCUUCCAAUGACCAAUAAUAAACAAAAUACUGUCACUUUGGAGUCUGGAGAUUGCAUCACACGUUCUUGUGUGAUCUGAUUCUUGUUCUUAUUUGUUUUUGUUUUUUCAUCGGUGUGUAACCCUUUUAUUCAGUAACUUGUGUAGCCAGUAGUAGUUGAUUUAGUUUGUGAUUCAAUAAAGCAAUUAUAACCCAAUUUCCAAAGAUGGACUCAACCAAAUCAACUAGUUAUUACUCAAAUUGGUUAAAAGUCAGCUACUCCCGAACUCGUAUCAUGAUUAACCUGUGACUCAAUGGAGCCGAAACUGGACUAAUGCGGAUCAACCCAACCCGAAAACUGGAAUAUUUUGAUUCCUUGGAGAAGACAAAUGAGUAGAUGCACAAAAGGGGACUUGUCGGGUUCAGUUGGAAGAGAUGGAAGGUGCCAAGUGACCAACCGACCCACCCACUCCGACCGGCCCACCACUGAUAAAGUGGGUAAGGUGAGACGUCAGCUUCCAUUCAUUCAUUAUUAAGACCAAAGGCACCGAGUAAACCUGUAGCACUAUGAGUUUUGGUUGCAAUUUAAAAGCAUCAUUAAUCAAACGAAUAACAGUAGACAAUCAAUGAUGAUGCUCAAGUAUGGUAGGUGGUGUACUGGAGUGAAAACAUACAGUAAAAAACACCGUUACCGGAGAUCAAACCCGAGUCACCCGAAUACUUAUCACUAUACUACAACGACCUUGAUGAUAAAAAGCGACGUAUAAGUAAUAAGAUUUGUUACAAGUUUUUAGGUUUAAAGUUCUAACAAAUCUGCUAUCUUCACAUUUACUUCUCUACGAAUACUCAUGUAUGCCGAAGAUUCCUUACUAUAGAUAGAUAAAGUUACAUCCAACCUUAACUUUCAGAGAUUUUUCAUGCGUGCAUCGUUUACAAACCAAUUUCCUUAGAUUAGAACUAUGUCUUGACCUAUUCUGUUGCAUCUAUUAGAUGCAUACACACACUACUUCUCAAACAAACAGAAGUUGCAUGAUUCAAAGUGAAUAGUAACAGAUACAGAGAACUCAAAAGGCUGCAUGACAUUCAAAUGGGAUCGUCCAAAUAUCAUUAAAAUAUGGCACUUCAAGGGUUCGAGAGUGCAUGUCCCAUAAGCAAAAAAAAAAGUUACGCUCUCAAACAAUUUUCCUUUCCCCUUUUUGUUAUAUAUACCAUUAGAUCACAAACCACUUGCUGACCUGCAAUAUUCACAAACCAAACUCUACACAUCUUCAACGCUUCUUCCUCUCCUUCAGUCCCUGGUUUCAUCCACGAUGCAGACCUCUCGAGCAGAAGAUCAAAUCGUUUCAUCGAACUCCAUUGCCUACAGCGGAAUAUAGUAGUUGUCGCAGUUAAAAACAAAUAUGCAUGGGAAAUAAUAAGAAAGAUAAGAACUCCUUUGGGAUAAUCCAGGAUCAUAAGACAGGAAGGAUAAUAGUCACAGUAGUCACUCCAUAUCCUAACAGGACACCAUACCAAGUUGAAUAAUGCUUUCAGUUCCAAUGACCAGCACAAAAGUUCAUCUGCCUAUAGACCAUUCAAGACAUAUGAUCCUAAAUCCCUUCACAGCAAGAUGUUAUCUCACUAGGAGGGGUUCUAACUUCUUACGCACCAUUGUGCAGUGUCAACAAUCAUUCCACAUAAGAAUCUAACAUCAUCACCAAACGCAUGCCGCAAUUUAGCAAAUCUUCAAUUACAUUAAACAGAUGCCUCACAGCUCUGCAACGUUCGCUGAAAUACUCUACACAAAUACAGCUAGAAGGUUACCUUUCCACAAAUAGGACAGCUGUCACUUCUCUCCAUCCACUCAUAAAUGCAACCAAGGUGGAAAUGGUGAGAGCACUUGGUCAUAAUUUUAGGGUUCUCCGGAGAGUACUCUACAAAAGAAAAGUGGUAACUGGUAAGAAUGAGAUCAUUUACUUUAACCCUCUAAGAAUUAACAGGAACUUCCAAAAGACUGAAAUAGAAUUCACUACUGGCUUUUAAUGCCUAAACUACAUUAUUAAAAAAAGCACUGAAGCUGCUUCAAAUCACCACUUUUUCAACCUAGGCAAACAGCUUUCUACAACCAUACCAUUUUCGCACUCAUGGGAAUACUGCCUCUUAAAGAACUUUAUCAAGCUCUUAAAGAAAUCAGUUCAUAUAAGAAAGCCCUGUCUUAACUUUCUCAGUCAAAAAAGCUAUCCUACUGAUAUAGCACAUCAAUGAUUGGUAACCUCCUCUGUGGUCAGUCCGAUCUAGGUUUGUCAGGAAAAAGAUGAUUCUAGAACUGCUAGUAUCUACAAAGUUUUCCAGUGCAAAUGGAAUCCUACCAUGUUAACCAAUGAAUUCAAACGAACAUGGUUUCUUAUCAAUCUCCAAAAAAAAGCUAUUUUUUUCCAGAACACAAGACGGCAAGAACCAUAAUUUCACAGUCGGUAAAAACGUUUUAGAACGUUGAUGCAUAGACUAUACCAACAAAACACCGUAGAGCACCGAAUAGAGCAUCUGCUAGUAAAAUUUAGAUUAACACCUUCAAGACAUGUAGGACAGACUUCCUCAUCUUCUGAAGAUGAGUAAAUGUAUCCGAUUCCAGAGGUAGAUUUUGCAGACGAUAGUUUAAGCGAGGACCUAGGACGCUGUUCUUUAGAACCUUCUUCACAUGCAGAUGCCUUCCACUUAUCUCCUGUACUAUAGUAUUCGGAAUCAUCAUCAUCAUUAUCACUCCUUAAUGGUUCUGCCUCCUCGUGCGAGUGACUUGAACCCUUCUCACGCCUUGAAACCAGACCGUCACGCUGCAACCUGAAGUAUCUUGGAUCGGCAUCAUAAGGCAAGGGCCUUGGAGGAGAGCGGUACAUGUCAGCAAGAGAGCUAUCCAGUGAUGUAGGAGAAUUCAGAGAUGUUGUCCCCUGUAUAGAUGAUGAAACAGAAUGCACCUCCCCUCUUCGAAAAAGUGAGGUAUACUACAAAAAUCGGGAGAGAGAGGUCAGAAGAAAAAUUCUUGAAACUUCAUAAAAGGGAACCCAGCUUUCACCAGAGCACCUAAGCACACAAACAUGUUCUGGUCAUCUGAAUAUCAGUUGGCCGGGCAAAUAACCGCAAGAGUUAGUACCAGCCCAGAGGAUAUGGAUGCAAUUUACUACUUUCACGUCAUAGAUACGUCGCCUCAAGAAUUUCGAGAAAUUUACACAAAGGCGAAAAGCUAAACAUCAUCAUGGAAGUUUAUAUUUCUCCGGUUGGGAACAGGGAAUUUCUUAACAGUCAUUCAACUCUUGUAGCAGGGGGAGCUUAAAAACUGGCACAGAUUUUAUUGCAUGCAGAUGUAGCGUAAGUGCGUAACAGAUAAGAAAUUAAUGCACAAAUAGCUGUUUACAGUAACAGGUAUAAGAGAACACAAACUCCAACGUACCAUGAAAAAUCAUGUACCUAGAUGCUCUAAGAUGGGACAGUACACCAAAGUAUAUAGCUUACAGAAAGCCAAGAAUAGAAAGAAACUGUAAAGAAUGCUCCAAGGUUCAAGUGUUUCAUUGCAACAAUGAAAUUCUAUACCCAAGGAACCGAGGAAAAACAAAAUGAAGCAAUUACGUGAUACUAUAACAAUCCUGGUGCACGAGCUGAAGCAUUUGAUGAACCAUAAUAUGCAUGAGCAUAUGCCAAAGAUUAGACAGAUCUUAAUUGCACUAGGAUCCAAUAGAAGAAAGAAAUGAGAGGGAAAACAGAAAAAACAUACCACAUGUAGGAAAUACUGCAGAAAGCAACUGAGACACAUGCAGUUUCUAUAUACAGAACUGUUAGGAUUCACAUAGUCCUCACAGUCUUCGAGAUGCAAACAACAACAAACAGCACCCAUUGUGUCUUCUCCAGACCCUUUCCAGAGAUCACCUCCAGUGCCUUUACUAUUGUCCCUUCCAAAAGUGUUACAGUCUCACACAAGCAUCAAGAAAUACUUGAUGUGCUCAGUAAAUACUGAAUGAGAGAGGACUUCAAGGUUGCCGAAGCAAAAGCUGCUUCUGCGAACCAGCACCCUCCCUCUCUUAGCUGAAGAAUAAACAAAUCUUUCAACAGAUCAAACAGCUUGACCAAGUUGACAAUUCUCCACCUGCAAGACGGAAGAUAUGUGUUCAGACAAGUUAUGUUAAUAUAUGAAGGUUGUACGAUCGCAGUAAUCAUCUAUGUCAAGCAAAACUGGCAAGCAAAACUACCCACUUAUCAAACAUUCAGCUCAGAUAAGAGUCCCAGAGUUCCUGAAAGGAACCAGCAUUUCAAUGCAAAUUCAUGGUUACCGAUGGAUCAAGUCAAGGGGUUGAUCAGCCUAACUUUAACUUUAGCGCCGACCUGGUAUGAUACAUCGAUCGUGAUUAUGUCAAAGGAAAUAGCAAAAGCACGGCCAGACCAUACUUUCCCUUCAUCGUGCGUGAAAGUGACAAUUUAUCGUCUUUUAUAUAGGCUUUCCCUUCAAAACCCAGCAAGGUUUCCCUUCAGUGCAAAGCAAUGUUACAAGAACCUUAACCUCAAUUUCACCAGAAGGAAAUAAACAAAACAUUAAAACUUGAAACCCAGAAAGAAGCGAACUUUCGGAUGCCCGAAUUCUCCAACUUAAUAUUGACGAUCGGAAGUCAACAUCAUCAUCGCGAAUUAUUGAAAGAAAACAAACCCCAUUUCAGAUAAUCAAAUAUUCCCCCGGAAGACGGAGGAUAGAGCGUCGGAAAGUAAAAGAAGUACCUUGUGACGAGCUGAAACAGAAUAGUCAGACGAGAAGAAAAGGGUUGCAGUUGCAGAGCAGGACCAAUUUUAUAUAUGUGACUGCGAAGGGAGGAGAGAAUCAGAGAAUACAGAGACGAGAAACCCCUAAAGCCGGUGAUAAAGAAGAGAAGAGAAGAGAAGAAAGUGGGAUUAUUUAAUUGCUGAGGCGAGAAUAGCUAUGAAUGCGCGAAAAAUGAAUGAAGCUGCUGCCGUCUCUCUUUCUCCUCUGUCUGUUUCUUUUUUUCUUCCCCGCUUUGGUGGUGGAUGGCAGUAGAAUCCAUCCACUUCCAACUUAUUGCUUAAUUUCUUUUCAAAAUUAUUUCAUUUCUAGUUUGUUCUUGGCCUUUCCUGUCUAUUUUGUGCUUCUCUUUUACAAGGUUUUGAUUUAUUUAUUAACAGAUUACAUGAUGGAUGGAUUAUAUUGACUUCUUCUUGCUGGUACGUGAUCAUUAUUUCUAGAUUUUUAUUAAUUAAGUACAAUAAUAUAUUCUCUUCUCAUUUUCUUUGUUUGAAAUUGGGAAAUUUUAUUAAUAUAUAAAGAGAGUAGUAAAUGAACUCACUCAUAAGUAACAUUAUUCGAGAAUGGAGAAAUUGAGAAAUAUAAGCGGCGAAUAAACUUUUGAGUUGCUCUUUUGUUUGCAAACUCUCUCCAUUGCUAAUCACAUCUACAAUUCGAGGUUUGAGAGGGAAUUUAUUGUUGUCCAACUAGAAGUGCUGAAAAGCGAAUUUGGCUCUUUAGUUUAGCAAUUUAGCACUUGGAAUUAGGGCUAUUCGCAAAUCGAAUCGCACGAGCCGAACUUUAUUGUGUUCAAGUUUGACUCGUUACAUUUUCGGCGAGCUCGAACUCGAGCCUAUUCGAGAUUGGCUCGUUAACUAACCUUGUCUAGCCAAACUCGAGCUUAAUUGGAACUUCGCUCAUUAAAACCUCCUAAUGAGUCGAAUUUGAGUUGAAUUUGUAGCUUGUACACACACAAAAAUUAUAUAUUAAUUUAUUGUAUAUGUUAUUCAAGGCAAUCACACGUUAAAAAAAGCUCUCAAAUCGUAAGAUGAAAGCGGGGCAGCUAAAAGAGUUCGAGCGGCAACGGCCUUAAGUGGCAGUGACAGUCGCAGUUUACAGGUUAGGCAACGACAAUAGAGUUUACCAACGACGAUGAUGUUGAAGUUGAGUUUCAAGUUUUAGUAUUUCUCCUUUUGAGAGGUUUUCGACCCUACAUAUUAGGGUAUAUAACGAUGACAGUUAGAGUUUUUUUUCUUCCUUCUCUCAACAGUGAUUGGCGAUGGAGAUGGUUACGCCAUGACGAGAGGGUGAUGUGGUAAAACGAGGAGCGGACAUGCUGCCGUUAGACGAAGAAGACGUAUUGUUGCCGGCGUUUGAGAGUAUCCAGGAACACCCAAAAAACUUGCUAACGGCAGGCCUGGACAACAAGUCCUGCUAUGAGGAGGAUUCGCUGGAAAGAACUCACAUGAGGUAUCGACCUCUUCGAGUGUUUGAUGUUUUGGAUGUCUCCAAUUCGAACUCCACCGGUCGUUUACUGCUUUCUUAGUUUCGAAUUUUUCUUUGCUUGAACAAUUAUUUCUUGUUUGUUUUUUCUAUCGAGUAGAGUUUAGCGCCUAAGAUGUUAACCCUUGUCAAGUGUUUCUGUUACAGGGAUGAUUGGAAGUACGAAUGUGGUAGCUCAUGCUACUUAUUUGUGGGUCCGAACUUCACUCGUUAAGAGUGAUAAUCCUCUCUGAGGAUUGUUUGACAUAUUGAAUAUCAUUUGUCCAAGAGGUAAAUAAUAUAAGUAGAUCAAUUUUGAAAAAAAGGCAAUCACGCAUUGCAUUGUUAUCUACUAACAAGCCACAUACUCGAGUCAGUAUUCGAGCUGGCUCUCGAGCUCGUGAGCCAAAUUACGAGCUUAUCGAGUGAAACAUACAUUGACUCAAACUUGAUUUGACUCAUUUAAAAUCGAAUCAAAUCACAAACAAACUUUUUUCGAACCAAACGCUUAAUCGAAUACAACACCUAACAAAUUACAAAAUCAAAUUGAUGGUUUAGAUUAGUGUUGCAACCCGAUCCGCUGGAGAGGACCCGAUGCCGAGUUGGCCCGAUUGCUAGCGGGAGUGCGGGACCUUCUUUUUUAUUUUUGAAUAACCUUCGUUCUUUCGCCAUCGCUUUUCUCUCUGCCGGCCGUCGAACCUAACCGUCGACCUCUCCCUGACAUUGUUCAGAUCUGUCUCCCUUUUCUCAUUUCUGAUUCCUGCUCCCACCUUUUUUCUAGGGUUCGCAGUCUUCCUUUUCGACACCCGAUUUAUCCCUCAGUGCACACUCCACUUACUAGUUCAAUCCGAACUCAACUAGGGCUCUGAUUUCCUCACUGGACCGUCUUUAGCUUCCCUUCAUCUUGACAUUUUCAAUCUUUCUUCAUUGAUUGCGUCAGAAAUGCAGUUCUUGUGUGAAGAGCGUGCUUCCUAGGAGAGCGAGCUUUUUUUUUCUUCCAAUUCUCAAUGCGGAGCUCGUCGAGUUCGAUGGCCCAACCAGAUGCCAUACUGGAAUGGCUUCACAAGGAGAUGGGGUACAGGCCCCUGGGUCCUUACACUACUUCAACCAACAAGUCGCAGCUUCCUUCCGUCGAUGCGCUCCGGAAGAUUUGUCGUGGCAACAUGAUUCCGGUUUGGAGUUUCUUGAUCAAUAGAGUGAAAUCAGAGAAGACGGUGGAGAAUAUAAGGAAGAACAUCACUGUACACGGUGUUGAUGGUGGUGAUGGUCGUCGCCAUCGUGCUGAGCGUGGGAGUAAAGAUGACGGAGGGCGGAGUAAAGGAGGCGGGAGGAGGAAGGAGAAGGCAGCUGGUGGGGAGGUAUCCAGUGCGGCCGAGAGUAGGGAUUCGGCUUUGCAAGAAAGGGAAUUGGCUGCGAAGGAGGUGGAGAGGUUGAGGAACAUUGUUGGGCGGCAGAGGAAGGAUCUCAAAGCUAGAAUGUUGGAAGUCUCUAGGGAAGAGGCCGAGAGAAAGAGAAUGAUCGACGAACGUUCUAAAAACAGGUUUGUAUCUGAUCUGCUAACAUGAAGAUGUUCUAAUUUGACAUGAGAGCUAUACUCAUUUUUCAUGCUUAGAGGAAAAAAGGUUCUACAUGAAUGAUUCCGAAUUGUGUAGUUAUUCACCCUGACGUGAAAUGUUCAAAUGCUAGCGUAGUUACAUACGCUCCAGUCUAGGCUAUUUCAAUUUGUUCAAUGCUCAAUGUUUGGUUUCGAAAUAUGCCAACUUGGAUGUAGAGUCAUCAGUGUCUUGUAGAUAAGGUGCGGUGAGAACGCUACUCUUGAAAUUGUUGUAUCUUGUUUGGAGCAGCCUGCCUGGUUAUUUGAUCAUUGUUUCCUGUAAGCAAACAUUUUCAACCUACAAUAAACUUAGUGAAAGUAGACUUUGUUAUAUUGAAGAUUAUGAUUGCUCGUACUGCAGGCAUAAGCAGGUGAUGUUGGAAUCCUAUGAUCAGCAGUGUGAUGAAGCAGCAAAAAUAUUUGCUGAAUAUCACAAGCGUCUUUGUUACUAUGUUAAUCAAGCCAGAGAUGCUCAAAAGUCGAGUGCUGACUCUUUGACGGAAGUGUUUAGCACCACUAGUGCAAACAGUGAGAAGGAAUCGGUUUAUUCAACUGUUAAGGGUGCUAGAUCUGCUGAUGAUGUCAUUCUUAUUGAAACAGCUCACGAGAGAAAUAUCAGAAAGGCAUGUGAAUAUCUUGCAGCCCAUAUGAUAGAGAGAAUACGUGUAUCUUUUCCUGCAUAUGAAGGAAGUGGUAUUCAUUCAAGUCCUCAACUAGAAGCUGCAAAACUGGGUAUCGAUUUGGAUGGGGAAGUACCUGAUGAAGUUAGAACUAUCAUUGUGCAUUGUCUGAAGAAUCCUCCUCAAUUACUCAACAUAAUCACUUCAUACACAUUGCGACUGAAAUCAUUAGUUUCUAGAAAUUGAGAAAAUUGAUGUCAGAGCUGAUGCAGAAACUUUAAGGUAUAAGGUCAUCAUAGAUUUACCUUGUUUUUUUCUUGAUUGGCAACCAUGACACAAAUUUGGAUCUAGGUCUGUUAUGCCUGUUACUUGUGCAGUAACAAUUACCUAAACCAGUUAUUUUUCCACUUUAUGAGUUUGGGGCUGAAGGCCUUUCUGUUCCUGCUGGCUAAUCCAUGCAGGUCAUCUUUUGGGGGCUAUUUUGAAUGACUGCCUUUAGUCAAAUCACUAAUAUUUGAGGUUGUAUUGUAGAUACAAGUUUGAGAACAACAGAGUACUGGAGGCUUCUUCUCCUGAUGUGAGCUCUCCACUACAUUAUCAACUGCAUGGAAAUGGAAAGAUUGGAGCAGAUAUUCCUUCUGGAGGAACUCAAUAUCAGCUCCUCGAAAGACAGGUAUCUUUGUUUAUAGGUGAUUGAACUUUUACAUAGUUCCUUUGAUUUCUCAGUAAUUUAUUACUUAAACGCUCUUGGUGAGAAAUCCUUAUAAUUCUAGGUUAUUGCGCUUUUCUAUGCUAUCCAGUUCAACUUGUUGAGAGAAUUUGAUAGUUUUCAUCAUCUUGCCGGGUUCUUGUUUUAUUAACGUUGUUGAUAUGCAGUUUGUGUCAUUUUGGUUUCUUUCUUACAGAAGGCUCAUGUUCAGCAAUUUCUGGCUACUGAAGAUUCACUUAACAAAGCUGCAGAGGCUAGGGACUUGUCUCAGAAGCUUAUACAGCGGUUGCAUGGGAGUGGCAAUUCAGUUUCUUCACAUGCACUUAAUGUUAGUGGUGCAUCUAAAAACAUGGACAGUAUCCGUCAUUUUGAGGUAGGUUCUUGAGCCACUGUGUUUGAUUGCUUCCAAUAAUUAGAACGUUCAUUGUUUUCGUGUAUACUUAUUUAAUUUUCUUUAUGUAUCUUGGGAACUUUGUAUUCAAUUGAAUUUCUCUUCCUUGUUUUAAAGGCUUGCGUACCUGUGUUUAUUUAGGAGACUGAGAGUAACUGACUUGUACAUUGCUUAUAUAGUUGGAGGUAUGGGCCAAAGAAAGAGAGCUGGCAGGGUUGAGGGCAAGUUUGAACACACUGAUGUCUGAAAUUGAACGCUUGAAUAAGCUUUGUGCGGAGAGGAAAGAAGCUGAAGAUUCUUUGAGAAAGAAGUGGAAAAAGAUUGAAGAGUUUGAUGCACGGAGAUCUGAACUCGAAACUCUUUACACUGCUCUAUUGAAGGCCAACCGGGUAGGAAAUGAAACUUUCUCCCAGUUAAAUGAGGGUUUUAUUUUCUUAAUCGUAUAUGAUUGCUUAACUUAUAAACCUAUAUAGGCUUUUAGGAAUCGCAACAUACUGGCAUUACUAGGUGGAAUUGAAUAAUAGGAUUUACUUCCCAGUUCCACAGGAUUUAGUCUCAGCUAAUAUAAGUCUUACUGAAGUGUAUAGGAGAAGAUCAAAACGCACUAAUGAUUAGCUGAACUGCGAUUUUGAGAUGUUGAAGAAAUUAUAUAGAAGUGUUUUUUCUGACGAUCUGUCCAGGUUGUUCUCGAUUUGACAAGGGAAAUCGAUUUAUUUUCUAGUUUCCAGAAUAUGUUUUAUUACCGACUUCCUCUAGUUAUCUGUGUUUGCUAGUCUGGUGUAAUGAUGAUUGGCAAAGGCAGAAAAUAAGUAGCUAUUUAGCUUGCGCUGAAACUUAACAAAAUGUGUCCAGUCUCUGAAUCCAUGGUUCAUUGUGUAGUUGAGUCUUGUAGCUAUAGAUUACUGUUUCUCUUUUAUGAAAAUAUCCGAUGGUUCCAGUUGAGGCCAGACAGUGAAAUUCCUUAGUUAACUUUCGGCUAGUUAACUUUCAGCAACUGAGGCUCUUAUAAACUCUUAUUGAUUUCAUAUCAAUAUCUCGCUGACUUUCAUACAGGAUGCAGCGACAUUUUGGAAUCAGCAGCCGUUGGCUGCAAGGGAGUAUGCAUCAACUACUAUAAUCCCAGCAUGCUCAGUUGUUCUGAGCAUUGCAAACAAUGCAAGAGAUCUUAUUGAUAACGAGUUCAAGGCUUUCUCUAGGAGCCCUGAUAAUAGCCUAUAUAUGCUGCCUUCUACACCACAGGUCAGUAUGACUUCUGAUGAAUGAUCAGCUGUUGUUAUUCAUUGGCAAUUAAGUGGGCAGUAGCAGAUUUUUCCUUCCUGAGCUAGUUGGUUGCUUUGUUUUUCUUCUUGUCUCAGUAUUAGAUUGAAAUUUAUAAUCCGAUUUUUCUAUCAUUUCUACUUUAGCUUUUACCUCUUUAUGUCGGCGAAGCAGUGCUAGUGUCAACUCUUGGAUCUACCAAUUUCAUGUAGAAAAAAAAAGAUUAGAAGCUGUACCGUCUUUCUACCUAGUGAAACUCACUGAUAUUUGGAUUCAAACAAUGGCUUGCAUGUAAUCUGGUUCGUUUUUUCUGUUGAAUGGGUUCCAUACCAUCCGUGAUUGUCCUUUUUAUUUGUUUUUUAUGAUUGAAAAUCAUAACCUGAUUUUGGUAUCAUCUAUUAAGCUUAUCUUUUUCCUUCUCAUACCUGUGGCAGAGACUCAAACAUUGGCUUGAACAGAAACAUUAAGCUCGGCAUGCAUAUAAUAUCUUCUGUCUUGUUUGUUUUUGUUAAUAUGAUAGUUGCAUUCUUUUAUUUAUUAGCUGUUAAAAUCUUAUUUUAAUAUGUAAAGGUGGGUGGUUUACUUUUUUUUUUUUUUUUUUUUUCUACUACCAUUUUUUCUUUCCUUGACUAAUUGGCUUAGGUUUUAAACAGAUGUGGAUUAUUUGUUGGCACUAAUUGUUGUCAUUUAAGUGAUAUCAGGCACUUUUGGAAUCAAUGGGAUCAACAGGAUCUACAGGCUCUGACGCUGCUGCUGCUGCUGAAAAGAAUGCUGCUCUACUGACAGCAAGAGCUGGUGCUAGAGACCCAUCAGCAAUUCCAUCCAUAUGCCGGAUUUCUGCUGCUCUUCAAUAUCCUGCUGGUAACUUUCCCAUUAUCCAUAGCUUUGCAUAACUACAUUCUUAAUGUAGAAUCCUGAAUUUGCUUACCAAUAUUUACUUUUUGCAUUUUCUUUGACGGCACGGUAUAGAAACUACUUCUUGUAGCUCUGUUGGUCUACAUGAUUUCUCUGAAAAGGUGUCAUGAAUUUCUUAUUUUAAUUCUUGCUGAAUAGUGAGUGCAUUUUGAUUCAAAAUGUGAAUGACAAUUUCACCUAAUUUAAAUUUGAAAGCAAAGUUAUGGUUACACUUCACUGACAGCUGCUGCCUUCUCCACAACUUGGAUCGGAAAUAUAGAAGGCUAGUUGUUGGGAAAGGCAACAGUUCCAUGCCAUUUCAUCAUAUGCCGAUUUGAUGUCAAUAAUUUGGAACAAAUCAAACUUCGUUAGUGUCCACUAUGAUCUUUACAUGUUAGCAAACUCAAAUUCAGUCGUUGUUUGCAAAUAGGUUUGGAGGGUUCAGAUGCUGGUUUAGCAUCAGUGUUGGAGUCCUUGGAGUUCUGUCUAAAUCUACGUGGUUCAGAGGCUAGUAUUCUGGAGGACUUGGCAAAAGCAAUCAACAUGGUUCACAUACGGCAGAAUCUUGUUGAAAGUGGCCAUGCACUUUCGAACCAUGCAUAUCAUGCUCAACAAGAAUAUGAAAGGUAAAGAUGAGUAUUUGCUAGAUAAUGUUUUACUGAAAUGUGAAGAACUCACAUCCCUUAGUGAAAUUAAGUUGUUACUCUUUGACUUCCCUUUGUUUUAGUUUACAUGCCAUGACAUUGGUCUGAAAAUUGGAACAUUGACCGACUUGUGUUUGUUUGUUUUAAUAGUGAAAUUAAAUCAGAGUACUCUUGCUACCCUCGUUACCUGUUAUAGAUAUUUAUUUGUGCUUUGUAAGUAUUCAUGGUUAGAUAUCAGAUUCUGAAUUCCAGUAACAUAAUGCAGGACUACAAACUAUUGCCUGAGCUUAGCUUCCGAGCAGGAGAAGAUUGUGAAGGAGAAGUGGCUUCCUGAGCUUAAAGCUGCAAGUUUUGCUGCGGAAGAAUGCCUGAAUGGUUGCAAAUAUGUUAGGGAAUUGGUGAGUAUCUAUCUUAACUUGAUUUACUUUUGAUUUCAGCUCUAACCUGUAAAGCAGCCUGUUGUAGAGUCUUGUCACUUAAUUUCCUGUUGUUUAUGUAGCAAAUCUAGGUUUCCAAACCCUGAUCUCAGUUCUUGAUUGUUUCUUUUCGAUCUAAGAAUGUCUCAAGUCUGUCCAAGCUUUUUAACAGUGGCACUGUAAUGCAGCUUAAUGAAUGGUGGGAUCAACCAGCAUCCACAGUGGUUGAUUGGGUUUAUGUUGACGGACAAGACGUUGCUACUUGGAUUAAUCACGUCAAGCAACUGCUUACAUUGUCGUGAGAAGGGAUUUCUCUUUUCGCGGGGAAAAAGCGUAUGCAACUCUAGCUUUGUCGCUAGAUUUCGCUUCAGGUGUUAUUUUCAUCAAUGCAUAUACUUGACUGUUGGAAAUCGGGAGCAGCAUUCUUGCAGCUUGCUAGUCAUCUGAAAACACAGUAUAUCCGCUGUGCUGGGAACUGAAGGGGACAGUUUUAAACUGGUUCCAGAGGAGGUAAUAUUUAUUCUAUGAUUUGAAGAGAAAGAAAUUCCAAAAAGUAGUCAGUGUUACCACAGUCAGUCAAUUUGCUUUUACUCCGUUGUUGUUUGUGUAUAGGUAAUAGGAUUUUUGGUUGUUAUUGAAGAAGAUGAUGAUGAUGUGUAAUUAAGUGUGUAUACUAAGCGUUUUUCCAGUUUCCUGGACAGGUUUUGCAAAUUGUCAAUUUCUAUCUGCAAUUCCCUCCCUCCCAGUUGAUGGUAUUUUAUUAUGAGCCGUUGACGAAUCGAAUCGAGCUGAGAGUUCGAGCUCGACUCGUUUAGAGGCCUUAACAAACUCGUAACAAGUUUGAGCUUGGCUCGUUUGCAAGUCUUCACGAGUUCGAGCUCAAGCUCGGCUCGGCUCUUUAAGCUCAAUUUGCAUUAAUUCAUUAAAAAAAUUAUAAUAUUUUAAGAUAGACAAGUCUCAUAUAGUCCAAAUAAGUAAUUAGGAUAAAAAAACAUUAAAAUAUAUAAAAAGUAAAAGACGACAAAAGAAAAGAAAAAGGUGUAUACAUCCGAAAUAGAGAAGCAAACAAUGACCCGUGAAGUGAAGGGGUUGUUUCGUUUUUAUUUCAUUUCAUUUACGCAACAUUGCAUUUUCUUCCUUUCUAACGCAAUCCACCCACCCGUGACUGAUCCGUGUCCGCAAACUUUCGCCACAUCCAACUUGGGGGUAAGCACGUACACUGAAUCGAGGCUAGAGUUAAUAGGGAUUUAACGAUUUUUUUUUCGAGAUCAAGCAACCGCCUUUGAUGCCUCCAGAGUAGUUAGUUGUGCUUCUAAACAACCGUACUUGUGAACAAUUCAAACGUGUGUAUGGUUGUUGAAAAAGUAAGGUAGUAAUAAAAGGGGAAAUUUGAAGUUUGUUUUUUUUUCAACAAAAUAAUAACUAGAAGAAAACGUAUGUAUUUCUACUUCAAAUGUGUCUAUUAAACUACUUCACCGGAAUUUAAUCUCAUAACGUAAGUUAAACAUAAUAAAAAAUAAAGAUAAAUAUUUUAAAUUAGGGAUAUAAUAAUCAUUUUGUGUAAAAAAGGGCUGGAAGAGGUAAAAGAUUACCAAGUUAUAUUGCAAGAGAAAAAACUUUUGGUAAAAAUCUUACAUCUUCGGAUUUUAAUCUGGUGCUGGAAAGUGGCUUCUUGGCCGUCCAACUUAGCCUAACCACAAGAUUAAUCUAAGGUCCCGCUACUGCAUUAGCCAUCAACCACAAAUUUAAAUGAAGUCAUUUAGACGGUCGACUUCAGUCAUCCUUCCGCAAAGAUUUCUUGGGCAUUUGAGAGAUUUCCUACAAUUUCACCCUGGUGGCAUUUUGUUGUCAGUUGUGUAUCAUUGAUGAAAAUAGAGUGUACCUUCAGAUGCUUGCUAUAUUGUUUCAGUCAUUUCGAUUUGACGGUAUAGUAUGAUUGAUUAUCUUCAAGUAGGUAUUGUUAGUACUAUAAUCCAAAAAUUUCAAGUUGAAAGAAGUGCCCCAUAAGUCCAAGAAACACAGUACCCAGCAGAGUAGCAGAGGCGAACACAGAGUUAACAAAAAUGUUGGUAUUAGGCUGUGGGGCCAUCUAGUAGCGGAACAACAGCGACAUCCAAAACUCUGUAGCAUAAUUAAGCUCUCGUGAACCCAGCAACAAUGACAUCUCAAAUUCUCAUCCUUUCACUUUGUUUUGCAGUAUUUGCCUGCUUGGUUGGUGAUCAACAGCAAACAGUCAUAACAUAUUACUUUUGUCACCUCUCUAAACCUAGAAAAUGUUUGAGAGGUGCUGUUUGUUUGGAGGUAGGACAUAAGUAGCCAGCUAUAGCACAGCCGCUGGUUUACAGUUGACUGGUUUUUCCCCAUCACUCACAUCAUCAGCAUUUCUCCAACUCCUUCCCUUACUUACAUUCAUCACUUACUCUCUCUCUAUUUAUACCACACACCAACACUUGUAAUUCUUCUCCAUCACCCUUCAAACUCACAAUGGGUUGCUUCUCCAUAUUCGCAGUCCUCUAUCUUCUAAGCUUCACCUUCACAGAAGCAAAGCACGAAGCUACUGCUGCGAACAAGAACGAUGCAGCUAUCGUUGUUGGAACCGUCUACUGUGACACCUGCUUCCAUGAUGCGGACACCCGCUUCAUUUCUGGUUACUUACUUUGCCAAUUUCGUUCAUUCUGUCUACUGAUACGAGAAAUCCAGCAGACUCACUACAAGAAACUGUCUGGAUAACAGCAGAUCAUUAUGCAAUUUACUUGUGUUAAAAACGCCCGAUGCAAAAAUAUAUUAGCAGCAGAAUAGGGCUCUCUGCCUUUACAUCUGGCAAUUUAACAUCAAAUUUAUAACUGUUCACUGUUCAAUUUAACAGCGGCAUUUCCAGUAGUGUCUGAACUUCAAAAAUCUCAUGAUAUUUGUUUCAGGAGCAUCUGUUGCAGUGGAAUGCAGACGCGGAAGAUUCCGACAAGAAGUGAAGACAAACGAGCAAGGGAAGUUCAAGGUGAAGUUACCAUUCUCAGUGAACAAACAAGUCCAAAGCAUCAGGAGAUGUUCAGUGAAAUUAGUGAGCAGCAGCGAUCCCUCCUGUGCAGUUGCAUCCACAGCGAAUUCGACAUCAUCUUUCCAUCGCAUCAAGAACAAUCAAGGAGACAAUCUCCAUGUCUUCUCUGCUGGAUUCUUCACUUUCAAACCUGCACAACACAAAAACAGCCUCUGUUCACAAAAGGACCUUUCAGCACUUCCUACACUACCAGACAUGAACCAGAACCAUUUUCCUCUGCUACCAAAGCUUCCACCUUUACCUCAACUCCCUCCUCUCCCUAGUCUCCCAAGGAUGCCCUUUUUUCCACCUUGGUCUGGAAAGACCAAGCAGGCUGCUUCUGGGAAACCCACUUUCAGAAAAGGUCUAGGAGAUCAUCAUGAUAAUGAUAAUGAUGAUGAUCAAUUGUCUAAUCAGAAAUCAAGACAAAAACAUCAUCAUGAAACUACUCAGCCUCAGGGUUUCCUCCCAAUGCCGCCAAUUUUUCCACCAAAUCCGUUAAUACCAUCUCCACCGUUGAUACCAAACCCUUUCCAGCCACCGCCUUCAGUGUUGCCUCCAAUUUUUCCAACACCUCCGCCUUCGUUGUUCCCUCCACUUUUUACGACACCUCCGCCGGCACNNNNNNNNNNNNNNNNNNNNNNNNNNNNNNNNNNNNNNNNNNNNNNNNNNNNNNNNNNNNNNNNNNNNNNNNNNNNNNNNNNNNNNNNNNNNNNNNNNNNNNNNNNNNNNNNNNNNNNNNNNNNNNNNNNNNNNNNNNNNNNNNNNNNNNNNNNNNNNNNNNNNNNNNNNNNNNNNNNNNNNNNNNNNNNNNNNNNNNNNNNNNNNNNNNNNNCCCCCCCCUGUUCUUGAUCAGCUGUUUGAAUUAAUCUACCCAGUCAUUUUAUUUCCGUUUUACACCCAAAAAAAAAAAAUCUAUCCAGUCAUAUGUUUUCACUGUCAUGUCUUUUUUUUUGGAAGGUAAUAAAGAGAGUAGCUGCAAUACAUUACAUCCCAAUGUACUACUGAUAAACUAGAUCCUGGCGUAAUAAUAAACUAGAUUGCCACUCCUUGCCCGUUACUCAAGUUGUAGAAUUCAUCUUCUUUAUGGCUAAGGGAAUUUCAGAGUAACAGAAACUUGGAUUCUUCACCUUCUUUAUGUUACUCUGAAAGCUAUAAC